GAGCGACACGUCGGGUUACAGCCGGGGAGCGCCUCGUGGUGACGAUUGGCGCGGCUCGAAAGACCACUCGAGCUGGAGGUGACCCCCUCUCCCACCACCACCCCCCCCCCCCCAGCUCUCUCCCUGGCGGUGAGACGGCGCUGUUUCCACUCUCACGCAACAGAAAGCCGCCAACAAACCCCCGACCACCUCGCCUCGCCUCGCGCUCACCCCCGAAGCAGUGUGACUGAUGUGCGCUGAUGAUCUGGUGGUGAUCGCUGCUCACUCGCGGAAGGAAGCUGGAGGGCUCUGCUGCUGCUGCUGCUGCUGCUCAACUUGGGAGCGUGCCGCUAAGUUCGGGAAAGUCUGCAAGACUAUUUUUUUUAUUACCUUUAGCUUUCCCUUGACUAUGUUCUCUCUCGUUUUUUAUUUGUAUAUAUUUUUUUUAACAGGCGUCUUGGCGUUAUAGAUAGAGCUACCUUCGUUUAAUUCAUACUGUAAAGUAUUACGAUGCCCUCUUUAGUGGGGGCGAGUUAUUACUCGGAACAUUAAAUUGAAUGGAUGAAUUAAGGUGGGGGCCUUACCAUGAACCCCAUAAAAACGAAACACCUGUCUGGGAAUUUUGUCCCAUCAAACACUCACCCCCACCCCUCAAAUCCCCAUUGUUGAUGGCGGUUGUUGUUGAUUUCUCUGUUGUUGUUGAUCUCUCUGUUGUUGUUGAGCUCUCUGUUGUUGUUGAUCUCUUUGUUGUUGUUGUUGAUCUCACUGUUGUUGUUAUUGAUCUCCCUGGAACGUAGGGGAGCCGCAGUGUAAGUGGUUAGCGCACUGUGCGCUAUGAAGCCAGCGACCCCGAGUUCGAUUCCAGCUCACGGCCACCACCAACACCAGCGACAGCGGCUAUCUGAACCGGUCCCUGUGCCUGUAGGUCGACUCAUCCUCAAACGGCGGGGGCCUGCCACGGAGAAAUGACGCCCGAUCAGUGGCCACGCUCCGCCCGCUCCUCCCGCUCCUCGGUUUCGCAGACGGGGAGAAGCUUCAUCCGGCACGGGGCCCAUCGAGUCGGCGGCGUGCAGGCGGUGCGACUGCACUGGCGGUGGGGUUGGGGAGGAGGUUACAAAGAGCCUCGAUUUGCUCAUUGGUUUUUUCGGUAAAGUCACGUAUGUAGAAAUACAACAAAAUUAUAUUAAAACAAAAAACAAUCACGACGUUUCGAUCACAACGCAAGAUCGCUUGCGUGACUUUACCGAAAAAAAUAAUGAGUAAUUUUAUGCAGUCACGAAAGCUUUAAUACUUUUUUUUAGCCUCUAUUUAAUUUGUCGCACCAGGGCCCGUGCCCACUCAGCUGUGCCACUGGGGUUUUGUUGUCUUUAAAAGUAUUUUAUGAACAAGACGGUUCCGGCACGCAACACAGAGGGUACUGAAACGAGGUCGUCACCAGCACAAACACACAUUACGGAUUAACAGUGCAAUGGAAACCUGUCUUAAAUCGCAUGCUUAAAAAAAAGAAUUCAAUAAACUCUUGCAACUCCCUGGUGUCUUCCUAAGCUCUGAUAGCCCUGUAGAAGAAAGAUACAAAAGGGCAGAGAGGCGGAGGGGGUACUUAAAUGCCCUCACGAUCCCCUUCAGAAAUAAUGCUCCACUUGAGAAGAGGUAGCGAAGGGGUUCCAUGUUUUGGUGGUAAGGAGGUUAAAUCUUGACUUAGCGCUAUCGUGACUGCAGGAAUUCAUAUUCGUUGGGUCUAUCGGUAAAGUCACGUAGAUAGGUUCAAAGACAAUAUCUACGUGACUUUACCGAAAGACCCAAAGAAUAUGUAAGGUGGUUGUGAGUUGGGGUUGCUGUGGAGAGCUCUCGUUGCCACGAGGCAAGCUGCUGGGUCCCCACGGUGUAAAGUUAAAGCCCUCGUCUUACUCUGCACAGGGGCUAACAGAGACACACGGCAGGAGCGAGCCAUGCAACGAGGAAUCCCGCAGCAGUCGAAACCGGUCUGCCGUUGUGACCACGUGGUGUCAACUGCUGCCCGUUGGGACGGUCACGCGUUCUCGACUCGUGUUCUCGACGCAUGUUGGACUCAUGUUCUCGACGCAUGUUCGACUCAUGUUCUCGACGCAUGCUCGACACAUGUUCGACACGUGUUCUCGACUCACGUGUUCGACUCACGUGCCCGACUCGCGUUUUCGAAUCGUGUUCUAGACUCAUGUUUCUCGACACAUGCUCGACUCACGUGCAUGCUUAAACCAUCGCUAGGAGUUAAACUCAUGCGGCUGGGCUCGUAGCCAGUGCGUGCGUGCGCGAACAACUGCCACGAGCCCACCGCGGACGGUGGUAAUUAAUGUCCACGUGUGCUCAUUACCUGCGUGGCCUUUCGUUAAACACAUUUCUGAUCUCUCAUAUCCAUCAAGAGACGGUUUGCUGGGGUGUUCUGCAUCUAUAAUAAUAAUACUCACCCUUGACUUGAGAUCGGUUAGAAACUCCCCUUUAACGGCAGUCAAAACACAGCGCACAGUACUUUAAUCUCGCUUUCCGCCCCCUGUCUACGCAGACGGUAUACGUUUCAGUUUCAUUUUCAGUUUCAUUUAUUUGGUAUAGCCCUGUGAGCCAUUUGGCUUUUGAAACGGGUGCAACCACAACAAACAAAAAUAAAAACAUGAACAAGAAAAGCAUCUUUGAGUGACUAUGCGCAAACAGAAAUAUUCAGGAAAAAUAGCAAAAACUUACAGAAAAAGCACCGUACACCAACGCUGUGUGCAAAAAUUCCAGUGGGAUGCAAGUCAAACAACAACCACAAGACAACUUAGAUUAAAGCCAUCAGUUUAACUCCGUACUACAACAAACAAACAUGGCUUCAACCACAGCCAGCCUAUCGGCAUGCUGCAUGUGCUGGUGGGGCAAAGAGUGGGUAACUCCCGAGGCCUCCUCCCUCCACAUUAAACAAAAAAGUAAUCCCUCCACGUGUAAAGAAACGCGCUUAGAUAUUAUUGAGAUAAUUUCGCCGCUUUAAAUGUCCGCGCAAUGAGCCACUUGCUUGAGCUGUCAUUUGUGGCCAGGUUGCUCACUAAAAAAAAAGCUAAUAGGGCAGUGGGC